UGCUGCUGCCAGACUGAUCUUUCUCUCCUGUUGCUCCUCUCACACCUCACCCCUCUGUCAUUCCUUACACUGGCUUCCUGUACCCUACAGGUGUCAAUUUAAAAAACUAACCCUUACUUAUAAAGCCCAAACCAACUAAACCCCCUCUUACAUUUCUUCACUGAUUCAUAGGUCUUUCCCCUCUCGGUCUCUCCGCUCUACUGGUGACCUUCUACUGUCUGCUCCUCGCACCCUUACUGCAAAUUCACGCCUGCAAGACUUCUCAAGGGCUACCUUUGGAACAGCCUGCCUGCCCCUGUC